CGCGGCCGUGGGACAUGUUCUCAGUCAAUCGAUUACCUCUCGGAUGCCUGCGAAGUUAGCUGUCGGAUUCGGGUGUGAGAUGCACCCGGCCGCCAC
rnacentral:tRNA from 1 species